rnacentral:misc_RNA from 1 species
AAGUCGUAACAAGGUUUCCGUAGGUGAACCUGCGGAAGGAUCAUUACAAAACAAAAUCCAAUCAACACCAAAAUGUGCUCAUAACUGCAAAAGGUCUUUGUGUGUGUGUGUGUAUAUGUUGUGUGUGUGUGUGUUGUGUGUGUGUGUGUGUGUGUGUUCUCACACAUGCGCACACUCACACUCACACUCACACACACACACACACAAACUUUUGCUUGUCUUUGUUUUUCAAUUUUUCUUACAACUCCUUGUUUAAACCAACAACGGAUUACAAUGUUAAAACUUGAAACAAAAACAAUAACAAAAUGACAACUUUUAACGGUGGAUCUCUUGGCUCGU